rnacentral:rRNA from 1 species
UUAAGCGACUAAGCGUACACGGUGGAUGCCCUGGCAGUCAGAGGCGAUGAAGGACGUGCUAAUCUGCGAUAAGCGUCGGUGAGGUGAUAUGAACCGUUAUAACCGGCGAUUUCCGAAUGGGGAAACCCAGUGUGUUUCGACACACUAUCAUUAACUGAAUCCAUAGGUUAAUGAGGCGAACCGGGGGAACUGAAACAUCUAAGUACCCCGAGGAAAAGAAAUCAACCGAGAUUCCCCAGUAGCGGCGAGCGAACGGGGAGCAGCCAGAGCCUGAAUCAGUGUGUGUGUUAGUGGAAGCGUCUGGAAAGGCGUGCGAUACAGGGUGACAGCCCGUACACAAAAUGCACAUACUGUGAGCUCGAUGAGUAGGGCGGGACACGUGGUAUCCUGUCUGAAUAUGGGGGACCAUCCUCCAAGGCUAAAUACUCCUGACUGACCGAUAGUGAACCAGUACCGUGAGGGAAAGGCGAAAAGAACCCCGGCGAGGGGAGUGAAAAGAACCUGAAACCGUGUACGUACAAGCAGUGGGAGCCUCUUAAUGGGGUGACUGCGUACCUUUGUAUAAUGGGUCAGCGACUUAUAUUCUGUAGCAAGGUUAACCGAAUAGGGGAGCCGAAGGAAACCGAGUCUUAACUGGGCGUUAAGUUGCAGGGUAUAGACCCGAAACCCGGUGAUCUAGCCAUGGGCAGGUUGAAGGUUGGGUAACACUAACUGGAGGACCGAACCGACUAAUGUUGAAAAAUUAGCGGAUGACUUGUGGCUGGGGGUGAAAGGCCAAUCAAACCGGGAGAUAGCUGGUUCUCCCCGAAAGCUAUUUAGGUAGCGCCUCGUGAAUUCAUCUCCGGGGGUAGAGCACUGUUUCGGCAAGGGGGUCAUCCCGACUUACCAACCCGAUGCAAACUGCGAAUACCGGAGAAUGUUAUCACGGGAGACACACGGCGGGUGCUAACGUCCGUCGUGAAGAGGGAAACAACCCAGACCGCCAGCUAAGGUCCCAAAGUCAUGGUUAAGUGGGAAACGAUGUGGGAAGGCCCAGACAGCCAGGAUGUUGGCUUAGAAGCAGCCAUCAUUUAAAGAAAGCGUAAUAGCUCACUGGUCGAGUCGGCCUGCGCGGAAGAUGUAACGGGGCUAAACCAUGCACCGAAGCUGCGGCAGCGACACUAUGUGUUGUUGGGUAGGGGAGCGUUCUGUAAGCCUGCGAAGGUGUACUGUGAGGUAUGCUGGAGGUAUCAGAAGUGCGAAUGCUGACAUAAGUAACGAUAAAGCGGGUGAAAAGCCCGCUCGCCGGAAGACCAAGGGUUCCUGUCCAACGUUAAUCGGGGCAGGGUGAGUCGACCCCUAAGGCGAGGCCGAAAGGCGUAGUCGAUGGGAAACAGGUUAAUAUUCCUGUACUUGGUGUUACUGCGAAGGGGGGACGGAGAAGGCUAUGUUGGCCGGGCGACGGUUGUCCCGGUUUAAGCGUGUAGGCUGGUUUUCCAGGCAAAUCCGGAAAAUCAAGGCUGAGGCGUGAUGACGAGGCACUACGGUGCUGAAGCAACAAAUGCCCUGCUUCCAGGAAAAGCCUCUAAGCAUCAGGUAACAUCAAAUCGUACCCCAAACCGACACAGGUGGUCAGGUAGAGAAUACCAAGGCGCUUGAGAGAACUCGGGUGAAGGAACUAGGCAAAAUGGUGCCGUAACUUCGGGAGAAGGCACGCUGAUAUGUAGGUGAAGUCCCUCGCGGAUGGAGCUGAAAUCAGUCGAAGAUACCAGCUGGCUGCAACUGUUUAUUAAAAACACAGCACUGUGCAAACACGAAAGUGGACGUAUACGGUGUGACGCCUGCCCGGUGCCGGAAGGUUAAUUGAUGGGGUUAGCGGUAACGCGAAGCUCUUGAUCGAAGCCCCGGUAAACGGCGGCCGUAACUAUAACGGUCCUAAGGUAGCGAAAUUCCUUGUCGGGUAAGUUCCGACCUGCACGAAUGGCGUAAUGAUGGCCAGGCUGUCUCCACCCGAGACUCAGUGAAAUUGAACUCGCUGUGAAGAUGCAGUGUACCCGCGGCAAGACGGAAAGACCCCGUGAACCUUUACUAUAGCUUGACACUGAACAUUGAGCCUUGAUGUGUAGGAUAGGUGGGAGGCUUUGAAGUGUGGACGCCAGUCUGCAUGGAGCCGGCCUUGAAAUACCACCCUUUAAUGUUUGAUGUUCUAACGUUGGCCCCUGAUCGGGGUUGCGGACAGUGUCUGGUGGGUAGUUUGACUGGGGCGGUCUCCUCCUAAAGAGUAACGGAGGAGCACGAAGGUUGGCUAAUCCUGGUCGGACAUCAGGAGGUUAGUGCAAUGGCAUAAGCCAGCUUGACUGCGAGCGUGACGGCGCGAGCAGGUGCGAAAGCAGGUCAUAGUGAUCCGGUGGUUCUGAAUGGAAGGGCCAUCGCUCAACGGAUAAAAGGUACUCCGGGGAUAACAGGCUGAUACCGCCCAAGAGUUCAUAUCGACGGCGGUGUUUGGCACCUCGAUGUCGGCUCAUCACAUCCUGGGGCUGAAGUAGGUCCCAAGGGUAUGGCUGUUCGCCAUUUAAAGUGGUACGCGAGCUGGGUUUAGAACGUCGUGAGACAGUUCGGUCCCUAUCUGCCGUGGGCGCUGGAGAACUGAGGGGGGCUGCUCCUAGUACGAGAGGACCGGAGUGGACGCAUCACUGGUGUUCGGGUUGUCAUGCCAAUGGCACUGCCCGGUAGCUAAAUGCGGAAGAGAUAAGUGCUGAAAGCAUCUAAGCACGAAACUUGCCCCGAGAUGAGUUCUCCCUGACUCUUUAAGGGUCCUGAAGGAACGUUGAAGACGACGACGUUGAUAGGCCGGGUGUGUAAGCGCAGCGAUGCGUUGAGCUAACCGGUACUAAUGAACCGUGAGGCUUAACCU